UGGUGAAUCAUGAUAACUUUWCGAAUCGCAUGGUCUUUUGUGCCGGCGAUAGUUCAUUCAAAUAUCUGCCCUAUCAACUUUCGAUGGUAGUAUAGAGGACUACCAUGGUGUUAACGGGUAACGGAGAAUCAGGGUUUGAUUCCGGAGAAGGAGCCUGAGAAACGGCUACUACUUCCAAGGAAGGCAGCAGGCGCGCAAAUUACCCAAUCCCGACACGGGGAGGUAGUGACAAAAAAUAACAAUACCGGUCUUAUUUAAGUCUGGUAAUUGGAAUGAGUACAAUCUAAAUCCUUUAACGAGUAUCAAUUGGAGGGCAAGUCUGGUGCCAGCAGCCGCGGUAAUUCCAGCUCCAAUAGCAUAUAUUAAAGUUGUUGCAGUUAAAAAG
rnacentral:rRNA from 1 species